AUCAGCCUUUUUUUUGGAUCCAAAAAAAGAUCUUUUCCCCCCAGCACCAUCUUACCUAUGACUAUAAUAGUCAUCUCUGAAACAAAUUAGAUCAUUUAAGGUAUGCCAGCAUCUUUGCAAAAUCUAACACUUCAUGCCCCUUGGGAGAGCUCUGGAAGCUUGUGUUAUAUCUGUGGAGCCUUCUACACUGGUGGACAUGAUUUAUUGCCUCCCUAUGAAGAAGCUUCAGGUCUCACUUGGCCAGGAAAAUGGAAAAACAUUCAAGGGAAUAUAGUGUCAUAGAUCUUCAAUGUCACCUUCAUUUUACAAUGAAGAGUCAUUGCCCACAUUUUACAAACCAAAGUCCUGGAAGUGAGUUACACCAUUUAGCAGAAUCAGUAGAACAAUCUGAUAUCCAGACUACUUUCCAGUCAUUGACUGCACCUAUAACUUUGAGCAUUCAUGCACUAAAUUAUUGGUAUUACUUUCUGGUAUUGGUUUGAGUCUGCAGCAUAUUUGAAGCUGCUUCCUGUUCAUUGAUUUCUAGUACAUACUUUACAUGGCACUGGUUCUCUUUUAUAUCCAGAUCAGUGAUAAGCCAAUUGUGAUUGUAUUCCACCAACCCCAUUUACUUUUACAAUGAAAUACCAUGUUGAAUUUCAGUUUUCCCUAUGUAUAGAAGACUCAUCCCUUUAGGCAUAAAAUCUGGCUUUGUGUGCAUCUAGAGAAAGGGAACUAAUAUGUUACUCUAUGCUAGGAACUAUGCUCAGUGCUUUGUUAAUGAUACUCAUUUAAUUUUACAUUGCUAAGGAAUAGAAUAUCCAUGUCUGUCAUUUAAUGCUUACCACACAUUUCUCAGACAAAUUUUAUUAAUUCAAUUUAAAGAUCAUAAAAUGAAGGUUUGGAGCAGUUAACUUACCUACCCUAAAUUCACACAGCUCACACAGCUGCUAAGUGGCAGGGCUAGGAUUUGAAACCAUUAUCUUGGUAAUGCCAGAGCUGCUUGAUCUCUGAUAGAAGAGGGAAACACUCUAAGUCACACCCCUCCUGAUCAGCCUAAAUGAACCCACAAACACCUCUCAAGCCACUUAGCCCAGAACUGGUGUCCACAUAGCCAUGUUGAAAUACAUGUCAUAGACAGCAGUCUAUAAAAGAAACACAUAGCAAAUCAGUGCCUUCCAGGACUUUGAUACUCCAUUUGUAUUUCUAGCAGUUGUAGAAAAUUCCUUGACAAAUCUAAAUACACUGUGUCUGCUUGAUCUGACUGGGUAGGCUCUUGUUUAUUGAUUUAGGAUUCUAACAAAGUUUUUGGCUAUCAGAAAGCCUUCAUAUUUCUCUAGCUUGUCAUUUCAAGCUAUUGAGUCUUUUUGAAUAAUAGCUCAAUGAUGUUUACAGAGUUUGCACAAUGCCAAGUGACAGCAAGGACUUUGAAGUUCUGAUGGUUGUUACCUGCCAUUGCCAUAGCAAUAUAAAGAUUAAAACAAUAGUUUGUGAUUAAUUCUGACAGCCAGUUAGUUAGCCAUUUAAAUUUGAGUACCAUCCUCACCAAAUCAACCUCAGGGAAUUUCCAGUCCAACAGUCUGAAUCUAAGGGGCAUUUGUGGGAAAAUAGCCCUGUUCUCUUUUACAUUAACCAUGAGGUUAGCAACAGCUAUCAAACGUCAUGCUCCUUAGUGACCCAUGAUGAGUCAAUCGUGUAUGUGUCUUUUAUUAACCAUGUUUUCAGUCUGUAACACUCCAUGGGGACAGUGAAGACCACUGGCUUACUAGCUUCCACUUAAAUCAAACUGCUGCUUAUUUACAUUAGCUUCACCUAUGUAUAAUUUAAAGGCAUCCCCCUCCCCAUUCAAUUGUUAUAGGACAUGAAAUAGUCUGUCUUGAUGCUGAUCACAUCACGCAUGAUUUUAGAGGCUGCCAAUAAUAAUAAUAGUCACUGUGGGCUUACUGUGUACCAAGGAGGACUGAUUUAUGUGCAUAAUUCUCACAAUAGCAUUACUAGAUAAAAAUAAGUAAACUCAUAUGGUUUAAGUGAUUUGUCCACGGACUCAAGCUAAUAAGUUAUGGAGCCAGCAUUCAUCUCCUGGUCUGUCUCUCUGACAGAAAAAGACCAUGUUCUUGACCACCACCCUACCUCUCCUUCUCAGAUUAACAUUCCAGGCUGAAAGUCUUAAUCUUGUAUGCGAGCCCUCACCCAUCUAGGCCAGUAAUCUCUUCAGCACACCCUUUCCAAACUUUCUCCAUCGCCACUGUCUUUAGUGAAAAAUAAUUAUUCCCAACUUACCCAGAAUUCCAGGUGUGGACACAAUAAAUUUGAACAAAAUAACAUUUUUGUUACUAAAACUUUUAAAAAAAUAUAUCCAGUAAUGUUUGGCCUUUUGGGGAUUCAUUGGUAUCUUGAGGAAAGAGUCAUUAAAGACCCUUCCCUGAAGGUCACUAUUCUCUUUCCUGAGUUGGAAUUGAUGACCCAAAUCCCUCUACCCUAAAAAUGUAGUUGGAAUAUUUUAAUAAAUGGAUAUCCUUAAAACAACACUGAAGCUCAUCUUCCUCUCCCACAAGUUUUUCCUGUAGUUUUUCCCCAUUGGCUUUAAUAAUAACAAUAGCUACCAUGUACUGACCACAUACUAUAUGUCAGGCAUUGUCCUUUAUGUGCCUUUUCUCUUAACUUGUACAACAAUGCUCUUAGACAUCUGUUAUUAGAUUAUUAUUAUUAUUAUUAUCCCUAAUUAGGCAGAUGAGGAAAUUGAGGCUUAGAGUAAUUAAGUAAAAUAUGCAUGAACACAGAGCUAGUAAGUAAACGGCAAGACUCAAAUCUAGAGACUUCUCUAACAGCAGAGCCCAUACUCCUACAUAGUACAUUACUAUCCAUCUACAAUCAAAUUCAACAUACUACCACCUGUGUGCCAAAUCCAGUCUACUGCCUGUUUUUAAAAAUAAAAUUUUAUUAGAACUUAGGCAUACCCACUCAUUUAUAUGUUGUCCAUGGGUACUUUAAUGCUAGGAUAUGCAUGGCCCAUGCAGCUAAAAAUAUUAACUAUCUGUUCCUUUACAGAAAGUUUCCUGACCCCUGAUCUAAAACAUAUUAAAAACAUUAAAUCAAACCAGCCCUUGAGGCAUCUCACUGUUUAUAUGUCUCCUUUCAAAAGACUCAUUUAUCCCUAGUUCUUGUUUCUUGCCUUAAAUUAGUCUCAUCUAUAUGAUGAAACCUUAGGACUUUGUAGUGGCUUUCAUAGGAUGUUUUUGGUAGUCUACAUAUACUUCAUUGGUGGUCCUUUAUCAAAAUGCGUACUAUCUGGGCCUGCUACAAAAAAUUAUCACAAACUUGGUGGCUUGAAACAACACAAGUUUAUUCUCUCAUAGUUUUAAAAGCUAAAAAUCUGGAGUUCCUGUCGUGGCGCAGUGGUUAACGAAUCCGACUAGGAACCAUAAGGUUGCGGGUUCGAUCCCUGCCCUUGCUCAGUGGGUUAAUGAUCCGGCGUUGCCGUGAGCUGUGGUGUAGGUUGCAGACGCGGCUCGGAUCCCACGUUGCUGUGGCUCUGGUGCAGGCCGGUGGCUACAGCUCUGAUUCGACCCCUAGCCUGGGAACUCCAUAUGCCGCGAGAGCAGCCCAAGAAAAUGAU
rnacentral:lncRNA from 1 species